AAUUCUCUUUAGGCGACUUUUGAAAGUGUUAAAGUGGCCUAUCAGUUUGUUUACACAAGUCUCUAAGGAUCAAUAAGCGUUGCCCAUCUACAGGUUUGAAGAUGAUGCAUCAUUGGGAUCGGGAUUAGAGAGCUUGUAGUUCUAUUCGUUUAAUUAAGUGAUUUAAUUUGUUAACUUGGAUUUGAAAUUUGUCGUACUAUUCGUAUUUCCUUAAUUCAGUUAAUUGGUUUGGACCUAAUAUGUAAUAGAUUAUUUAUGAACCUAAAAGUUAGUUUUAUGUUUUCCGCUGCAAAA